AUUGAACGCUGGCGGAAUGCUUUACACAUGCAAGUCGAACGGCAGCACGGACUUCGGUCUGGUGGCGAGUGGCGAACGGGUGAGUAAUGUAUCGGAACGUGCCCAGUCGUGGGGGAUAACGUAGUGAAAAUUACGCUAAUACCGCAUACGAUCUAUGGAUGAAAGCGGGGGAUCGCAAGACCUCGCGCGAUUGGAGCGGCCGAUAUCAGAUUAGGUAGCUGGUGGGGUAAAGGCCCACCAAGCCAACGAUCUGUAGCUGGUCUGAGAGGACGACCAGCCACACUGGAACUGAGACACGGUCCAGACUCCUACGGGAGGCAGCAGUGGGGAAUUUUGGACAAUGGGCGAAAGCCUGAUCCAGCCAUUCCGCGUGCAGGAUGAAGGCCCUCGGGUUGUAAACUGCUUUUGUACAGAACGAAAAGGUUUCUACUAGUACUAGGAGCUCAUGACGGUACUGUAAGAAUAAGCACCGGCUAACUACGUGCCAGCAGCCGCUGUAA
rnacentral:rRNA from 1 species